rnacentral:rRNA from 1 species
UACGUAGGGGCUAGCGUUGUCCGGAAUCAUUGGGCGUAAGAGCGUGUAGGCGGCCCGGUAAGUCCGCUGUAAAAGUCAAAGGCUCAACCUUUGAAUGUCAGUGGAUACUGCCGGGCUAGAGUCCGGAAGAGGCGAGUGGAACUCCUGGUGUAGCGGUGGAAUGCGCAGAUAUCAGGAAGAACACCAACGGCGAAGGCAGCUCGCUGGGACGGUACUGACGCUGAGACGCGAAAGCGUGGGGAGCGAACAGG